rnacentral:rRNA from 1 species
GACGUGACUUCAGAGUUUGAUCCUGGCUCAGGAUGAACGCUGGCGGCGUGCCUAACACAUGCAAGUCGAACGGACUUGCUUAACGGAAGUUUUCGGAUGGAAGUUAAGUAAGUUAGUGGCGGACGGGUGAGUAACGCGUGGGUAACCUGCCUUGUACAGGGGGAUAACACUUAGAAAUAGGUGCUAAUACCGCAUAAGCGCACAGUUUCGCAUGGAACAGUGUGAAAAACUCCGGUGGUACAAGAUGGACCCGCGUCUGAUUAGCUAGUUGGUGGGGUAACGGCCUACCAAGGCGACGAUCAGUAGCCGGCCUGAGAGGGUGACCGGCCACAUUGGGACUGAGACACGGCCCAA